rnacentral:rRNA from 1 species
UACGGGGGGGGCAAGCGUUGUUCGGAAUUACUGGGCGUAAAGGGUUCGUAGGUGGCUCGCUAAGUCAGACGUGAAAUCCCUCAGCUUAACUGGGGAACUGCGUCUGAGACUGGCGGGCUUGAGUGCAGGAGAGGAACGCGGAAUUCCAGGUGUAGCGGUGAAAUGCGUAGAUAUCUGGAGGAACACCGGUGGCGAAGGCGGCGUUCUGGACUGCAACUGACACUGAUGAACGAAAGCCAGGGGAGCAAACGGG